UACGGCGAGUGAGCGGCAAAAGCUCAAAUUUGAAAUCUAGCACCUUCGGUGUUCGAGUUGUAAUUUGAAGAUGGUAACCUUGGGUUUGGCUCUUGUCUAUGUUCCUUGGAACAGGACGUCAUAGAGGGUGAGAAUCCCGUCUGAUGAGAUGCCCAUUCCUAUGUAAGGUGCUAUCGAAGAGUCGAGUUGUUUGGGAAUGCAGCUCUAAGUGGGUGGUAAAUUCCAUCUAAAGCUAAAUAUUGGCGAGAGACCGAUAGCGAACAAGUACAGUGAUGGAAAGAUGAAAAGAACUUUGAAAAGAGAGUGAAAAAGUACGUGAAAUUGUUGAAAGGGAAGGGCAUUAGAUCAGACUUGGUGUUUUACGAUUAUCUUCUCUUCUUGAGUUGUGCACUCGUAUUUCACUGGGCCAGCAUCGAUUCGGAUGGCAAGAUAAUGGCAGUUGAAUGUGGCUUCACUUCGGUGGAGUGUUAUAGCUUCUGCUGAUAUUGCCUGUCUGGAUCGAGGGCUGCGUCUUUUGACUAGGAUGCUGGCGUAAUGAUCUAAUGCCGCCCGUCUUGAAACACGGACCAAGGAGUCUAACGUCUAUGCGAGUGUUUGGGUGUAAAACCCGUACGCGUAAUGAAAGUGAACGUAGGUGAGAGCUCUUUUGAGUGCAUCAUCGACCGAUCCUGAUGUUUUCGGAUGGAUUUGAGUAAGAGCAUAGCUGUU
rnacentral:rRNA from 1 species